AUUGGCCAGGAUCACCACCUGUCGGCGAGGGUUCGCUCACAGGUGCAAAUUUC
rnacentral:sRNA from 1 species